GAUAUGAAGUAGCAAUACUUCAAAAAGUGGCGCACGGGUGCGUAACACGUAUGCAACCUACCUAUCACAGGGGGAUAGCCCGAAGAAAUUCGGAUUAAUACCCCAUAAAACAGACUCUUCGCAUGGAGAGAUUGUUAAAGCUGAGGCGGUGAUAGAUGGGCAUGCGACUGAUUAGUUAGUUGGCGAGGUAACGGCUCACCAAGACAAUGAUCAGUAGGGGGUCUGAGAGGAUGAUCCCCCACACUGGUACUGAGAUACGGACCAGACUCCUACGGGAGGCAGCAGUAGGGAAUAUUGGUCAAUGGGCGAGAGCCUGAACCAGCCAUGCCGCGUGCAGGAAGAAGGCCUUCUGGGUUGUAAACUGCUUUUAUCAGGGAAGAAAACGCUCUUGCGAGAGUAACUGACGGUACCUGAGGAAUAAGCACCGGCUAACUCCGUGCCAGCAGCCGCGGUAAUACGGAGGGUGCAAGCGUUGUCCGGAUUUAUUGGGUUUAAAGGGUGCGUAGGCGGGCUAUUAAGUCAGUGGUGAAAGCCGGCAGCUCAACUGUCGAACUGCCAUUGAUACUGAUAGCCUUGAGUACAGAUGAGGUGGGCGGAAUUUAUGGUGUAGCGGUGAAAUGCAUAGAUACCAUAAAGAACACCGAUAGCGAAAGCAGCUCACUAAACUGUAACUGACGCU
rnacentral:rRNA from 1 species